AGGGGUUUUGAUCAUGGCUCAGAACGAACGUUGGCGGCGUGGAUUAGGCAUGCAAGUCGCACGAGAAAGGUUCCUUCGGGAACUGAGUAGAGUGGCGGACGGGUGAGUAAUGCAUAGAUAACUUGCCCUUGAGAUGGGGAUAACACUUCGAAAGGAGUGCUAAUACCCAAUAUUGUCAUUCGCCCGCGGGUGAAUGAUGAAAGGAGGCCUCUGAUUUAAGCUUCCGCUCAGGGAGGGGUCUAUGUCCUAUUAGCUUGUUGGUGAGGUAACGGCUCACCAAGGCUACGAUGGGUAGCCGGCCUGAGAGGGUGAUCGGCCACAUUGGGACUGAGACACUGCCCAGACUCCUACGGGAGGCUGCAGUCGAGAAUCUUCCGCAAUGCGCGCAAGCGUGACGGAGCGACGCCGCGUGGGUGAUGAAGGCCUUCGGGUUGUAAAGCCCUGUCAGCUGCCAAGAAAUGUGGGUCGUGAAUAGCGAUCCCGCUUGACUAAGCAGCAGAGGAAGCACCGGCUAAAUACGUGCCAGCAGCCGCGGUAAUACGUAUGGUGCGAACGUUGUUCGGAAUCACUGGGCUUAAAGAGGGCGUAGGCGGUUUGGUAAGUCUGUUGUGAAAUCCCUGGGCUCAACCGAGGAACUGCAACGGAUACUGCUAAGCUCGAGUGCAGGAGGGGAGAGUGGAAUUCCUGGUGGAGCGGUGAAAUGCGUAGAUAUCAGGAGGAACGCCGGUGGCGAAAGCGACUCUCUGGUCUGUUACUGACGCUGAGGCCCGAAGCUAG
rnacentral:rRNA from 1 species